rnacentral:rRNA from 1 species
UAAAACGUAGGAGGCGAGCGUUAUCCGGAGUUACUGGGCGUAAAGCGCGCGCAGGCGGUGGGGUAAGUGGCUUGUGAAAUCCUUCGGCUAAACCGAGGGGGGUCAGGUCAGACUGCUCGACUGGAGGGAGGUAGAGGAGCGUGGAAUUCGGGGUGGAGCGGUGAAAUGUGUAGAGAUCCCGAGGAACACCAGUGGUGCAAACGGCGCUCUGGGCCUCUUCUGACGCUGAGGCGCGAAAGCGUGGGGAGCGAACGGGAUUAGAGACCCCGGUAGUCCACGCCGUAAACGAUGCCGACUAGCUGCUGACUUGGCGCAAGUCAAGGCGGUGGCGCAGCUAACGCGAUAAGUCGGCCGCCUGGGGAGUACGGUCGCAAGGCUA